rnacentral:rRNA from 1 species
UGAGGAAUAUUGAGCAAUGCCCGCAAGGGUGACCCAGCAACGCCGCGUGGAGGAUGAAUGUCGUAAGAUUGUAAACUCCUGUUAGAGGGGAAGAAUAGUACCGGUUGGACCGGUAUAUGACUGUACCCUCAGAGAAAGCCCCGGCUAACUACGUGCCAGCAGCCGCGGUAAUACGUCGGGGGCAAGCGUUGUCCGGAUUUACUGGGUGUAAAGGGCGCGCAGGCGGGAUAAAAAGUCAGUGGUGAAAUCCUACAGCUUAACUGUAGAACUGCCUUUGAUACUUUUAUUCUUGAGUUCGGGAGAGAGAGACGGAAUUCCAGGUGUAGUGGUGAAAUACGUAGAUAUCUGGAAGAACACCAGUUGCGAAGGCGGUCUCUUGGUCCGACACUGACGCUGAGGCGCGAAAGCGUGGGGAGCAAACA